ACACAUGCAAGUCGAGGGGCAGCGGGAUUGAAGCUUGCUUCAAUUGCCGGCGACCGGCGCACGGGUGAGUAACGCGUAUCCAACCUUCCGUACACUCAGGGAUAGCCUUUCGAAAGAAAGAUUAAUACCUGAUGGUAUGAUGAGAUUGCAUGAUAGCAUCAUUAAAGAUUCAUCGGUGUACGAUGGGGAUGCGUUCCAUUAGGUAGUAGGCGGGGUAACGGCCCACCUAGCCUACGAUGGAUAGGGGCUCUGAGAGGAAGGUCCCCCACAUUGGAACUGAGACACGGUCCAAACUCCUACGGGAGGCAGCAGUGAGGAAUAUUGGUCAAUGGACGAGAGUCUGAACCAGCCAAGUAGCGUGAAGGAUGAAGGUCCUACGGAUUGUAAACUUCUUUUAUAAGGGAAUAAAACCUCCCACGUGUGGGAGCUUGUAUGUACCUUAUGAAUAAGCAUCGGCUAACUCCGUGCCAGCAGCCGCGGUAAUACGGAGGAUGCGAGCGUUAUCCGGAUUUAUUGGGUUUAAAGGGAGCGCAGACGGGUCGUUAAGUCAGCUGUGAAAGUUUGGGGCUCAACCUUAAAAUUGCAGUUGAUACUGGCGUCCUUGAGUGCGGUUGAGGUGUGCGGAAUUCGUGGUGUAGCGGUGAAAUGCUUAGAUAUCACGAAGAACUCCGAUUGCGAAGGCAGCACACUAAGCCGUAACUGACGUUCAUGCUCGAAAGUGUGGGUAUCAAACAGGAUUAGAUACCCUGGUAGUCCACACGGUAAACGAUGGAUACUCGCUGUUGGCGAUAUACAGUAAGCGGCCAAGCGAAAGCGUUAAGUAUUCCACCUGGGGAGUACGCCGGCA
rnacentral:rRNA from 1 species